ANANUGCAGUCGUACGCACUGNCCCAACUGAUUGAUGGUGCUUGCACCUGAUUGACGAUGGAUCACCAGUGAGUGGCGGACGGGUGAGUAACACGUANGUAACCUGCCCCGGAGCGGGGGAUAACAUUUGGAAACAGAUGCUAAUACCGCAUAACAACAAAAGCCACAUGGCUUUUGUUUGAAAGAUGGCUUUGGCUAUCACUCUGGGAUGGACCUGCGGUGCAUUAGCUAGUUGGUAAGGUAACGGCUUACCAAGGCGAUGAUGCAUAGCCGAGUUGAGAGACUGAUCGGCCACAAUGGAACUGAGACACGGUCCAUACUCCUACGGGAGGCAGCAGUAGGGAAUCUUCCACAAUGGGCGCAAGCCUGAUGGAGCAACACCGCGUGAGUGAAGAAGGGUUUCGGCUCGUAAAGCUCUGUUGUUGGAGAAGAACGUGCGUGAGAGUAACUGUUCACGCAGUGACGGUAUCCAACCAGAAAGUCACGGCUAACUACGUGNNAG
rnacentral:rRNA from 2 species